AGAAGGGUAAAAGGAUCCAGUUCCUGCUCUUUUCCUACAUAUGUAGAUGCAACAUUUGGGAAGUAGGACAAGUACAAUAGCCAUUAAUCCUCCAACUCGUCUGCCAUACCGCUGGUGGAUUACAACAGUUUGCAGCUGGCCACAGUUAUGUCUAAGCUUAAUGCAGUCUACCUUUGGAAAAACAUGCCUUGUAUACCUCAGGAUUCUGGAAAGGAGUGGAAAUGGAGGGAAUACACACAGGAACUGGUAAUUCUCUGAGACGAAGCACUUGCCAAGGAUAUUGGG